GGGGAGUUCGGCUAGCUUGGCAGGCUUCCAGAUUCGGGUUCUGGAGACACGAGUUCAAAUCUCGUACUCCCCA
rnacentral:tRNA from 1 species